rnacentral:rRNA from 1 species
UACGAAGGGGGCUAGCGUUGUUCGGAAUUACUGGGCGUAAAGCGCGUGUAGGCGGCUCGGCAAGUCGGAUGUGAAAGCCCUGGGCUUAACCUAGGAAGUGCAUUCGAAACUGCCGAGCUGGAGUUCUGGAGAGGAAGGCGGAAUUCUCGGUGUAGAGGUGAAAUUCGUAGAUAUCGGGAGGAACACCGGUGGCGAAGGCGGCGACCUGGGUAGAUACUGACGCUGAGGUGCGAAAGCGUGGGGAGCAAACAGG